UACGAAGGGGGCUAGCGUUGUUCGGAAUUACUGGGCGUAAAGGGCGCGUAGGCGGUGGGGCAAGUCAGGUGUGAAAUCCCGGAGCUCAACUCCGGAACUGCACUUGAUACUGCCUUGCUAGAGUACUGGAGAGGAGACUGGAAUUUACGGUGUAGCAGUGAAAUGCGUAGAGAUCGUAAGGAAGACCAGUGGCGAAGGCGAGUCUCUGGACAGUUACUGACGCUGAGGCACGAAGGCCAGGGGAGCAAACGGG
rnacentral:rRNA from 1 species